GCCAUGGUGGCGUAGUGGUUAACGCAUCUGCCUAGUGAGCAGGAGACUUGGGUUCGAAUCCCAAUCUUCGUA
rnacentral:tRNA from 1 species